UACGUAGGAACCAAGCGUUGUCCGGAAUUACUGGGUGUAAAGGGUGCGCAGGCGGACUUGUGCGUCAGAGGUUAAAUGCCCCGGCUCAACCGGGGAAAUGCCUUUGAUACGGCAAGUCUUGAGUACGAGAGAGGAUGGUAGAAUUCCUGGUGUAGCGGUGAAAUGCGUAGAUAUCAGGAGGAAUACCAGUGGCGAAGGCGGCCAUCUGGCUCGUUACUGACGCUCAGGCACGAAAGCGUGGGGAGCAAACAGG
rnacentral:rRNA from 1 species